rnacentral:rRNA from 1 species
UACGUAGGUGGCAAGCGUUGUCCGGAAUUACUGGGCGUAAAGAGCUCGUAGGUGGUUUGUCGCGUUGUUCGUGAAAACUCACAGCUCAACUGUGGGCGUGCGGGCGAUACGGGCAGACUAGAGUACUGCAGGGGAGACUGGAAUUCCUGGUGUAGCGGUGGAAUGCGCAGAUAUCAGGAGGAACACCGGUGGCGAAGGCGGGUCUCUGGGCAGUAACUGACGCUGAGGAGCGAAAGCGUGGGGAGCGAACAGG